GAUGAACGCUGGCGGCGUGCCUAAUACAUGCAAGUCGAGCGAACAGACGAGGAGCUUGCUCCUCUGACGUUAGCGGCGGACGGGUGAGUAACACGUGGAUAACCUACCUAUAAGACUGGGAUAACUUCGGGAAACCGGAGCUAAUACCGGAUAAUAUAUUGAACCGCAUGGUUCAAUAGUGAAAGACGGUUUUGCUGUCACUUAUAGAUGGAUCCGCGCCGCAUUAGCUAGUUGGUAAGGUAACGGCUUACCAAGGCAACGAUGCGUAGCCGACCUGAGAGGGUGAUCGGCCACACUGGAACUGAGACACGGUCAAGACGCCUGCGGGAGGCAGCAGUAGGGAAUCUGACGCAAUGGGCGAAAGCCUGACGGAGCAACGCCGCGUGAGUGAUGAAGGUCUUCGGAUCGUAAUACUCUGUUAUUAGGGAAGAACAAAUGUGUAAGUAACUAUGCACGUCUUGACGGUACCUAAUCAGAAAGCCACGGCUAACUACGUG
rnacentral:rRNA from 1 species